UCUGUAUAUGGGAUGGAUUCCCAGAUGGGGCAGUCUACUGGAUGGCUUUUCCUUCAGUCCCUGUUCCACACUUUGUCCUGGAUUUCUUUAGACUGACGCCAUUCUGGGUUAAAAAUUUGGAGAUGAGGUAACAUAAGCAGAUAAAGCAAGUACAUCAGGAAUGUGCACAUGCUCCAGCUAAGGCUAUUUUACAUUGUAUGAAAAUAAGUUUUUAAAAGUGAAGUCACUUCUCCAAGGCCAUAGAAUUACUGAGGGCUUAUCAUGUUGGUAAGGGUCACUUUUCUUUCUUCAGAUGCAGUGGAUAGUUUGCUUGAACUUGUUCAGGCAGAGGGAUGAGAUGAGAACUGUACCAAAACUCUGAAGUGAAGAGCAGUGAGUACCAGAAAAGACCAGUGAAGACGAGCAAAGACUACCAAAGACCAGCAAAGACCACCAAAGAUCAGCAAGGACCAGCGAAGACCAGUGAAGACCAGGGAAGACUAGACAAGACCAGUGAAGUGAAUCACAAUGGAGAGGCUUGGAGCUGCUUAGUAAGAGGGAGACUGACACCUGGACCAGGCAGGAAUCUAUCAUGGCUGUCCUCUGAGAGGCUCUACCAGCAGCUGACCGAGACAAGCAAGCAUUGGAUUGAGGUCGGGGACCCCUAUGGAAGAGUUAGGGGAAGGAUUGAAGGAACUUCAGGGGGUGGCAACCCCAUAGGAAGCCAAACAGUAUCAACUAACCUGGAUCUCUGGGAGCUUCUAGAAAUUGAACCACCAACCAAAGAGCAAACACAGGCUGGUCAGAGGCCCCAGGAACAUAUAUAACUGUGGGGUGCCUUGUCUGUCCUCAGUGGGAGAUGAUGCAUCAAUCCUGUUGAUCCUGUAGAGACAUGAUGCCCCAGGGUAGGUGAUAACCUCGGGUGGGGUUACCCUCUCAGAGGUGAACAGGUGGGCAGAUGGAAGGAAGAACUCUGCAAGGGGGGUACAAGGAGGUGGGCAAAAUUUGAGGUAUAAAUAAAUAAAAUAAUUAGUUAUAA
rnacentral:lncRNA from 1 species